GCCACCCUAGCUCAAACGGAAGAGCAGCGCAUUCGUAAUGCGCAGGUUGUGGGUUCGAUUCCCAUGGGUGGCUCCA
rnacentral:tRNA from 1 species